rnacentral:rRNA from 1 species
UGCGUAGGGUGCAAGCGUUUAAUCGGAAUUACUGGGCGUAAAGCGUGCGCAGGCGGUUGUGCAAGACAGAUGUGAAAUCCCCGGGCUUAACCUGGGAAUUGCAUUUGUGACUGCACGGCUAGAGUGUGUCAGAGGGGGGUAGAAUUCCACGUGUAGCAGUGAAAUGCGUAGAUAUGUGGAGGAAUACCGAUGGCGAAGGCAGCCCCCUGGGAUAACGACUGACGCUCAUGCACGAAAGCGUGGGGAGCAAACAGG